UGGAGAGUUUGAUCCUGGCUCAGAUUGAACGCUGGCGGCAGGCCUAACACAUGCAAGUCGAGCGGUAACAGGGAUCAGCUUGCUGAUUYGCUGACGAGCGGCGGACGGGUGAGUAAUGUCUGGGAAACUGCCUGAUGGAGGGGGAUAACCMCUGGAAACGGUGGCUAAUACCGCAUAAYGUCGCAAGACCAAAGUGGGGGACCUUCGGGCCUCAUGCCAUCAGAUGUGCCCAGAUGGGAUUAGCUWGUAGGUGGGGUAACGGCUCACCUAGGCGACGAUCCCUAGCUGGUCUGAGAGGAUGACCAGCCACACUGGAACUGAGACACGGUCCAGACUCCUACGGGAGGCAGCAGUGGGGAAUAUUGCACAAUGGGCGCAAGCCUGAUGCAGCCAUGCCGCGUGUAUGAAGAAGGCCUUCGGGUUGUAAAGUACUUUCAGUGGGGAGGAAGGCGYGAUGUUUAAUACGCAUCGCGAUUGACGUUACCCACAGAAGAAGCACCGGCUAACUCCGUGCCAGCAGCCGCGGUA
rnacentral:rRNA from 1 species